rnacentral:rRNA from 1 species
UUACACAUGCAAGUCGAACGGCAGCACGAGUGCUUGCACUUGGUGGCGAGUGGCGAACGGGUGAGUAAUGCAUCGGAACGUGUCUUAAAGUGGGGAUAACGCAUCAGAAGAUGUGCAUAAUACCGCAUAUACUCUGAGGGAGGAAGUAGGGGAUCGAAAGACCUUAUGCUUUUGGAGCGGCCGAUGUCUGAUUAGCUAGUUGGUAAGGUAAUGGCUUACCAAGGCAACGAUCAGUAGUUGGUCUGAGAGGACGGCCAGCCACACUGGGACUGAGACACGGCCCAGACUCCUACGGGAGGCAGCAGUGGNNAAUUUUGGACAAUGGGCGCAAGCCUGAAUCCAGCAAUGCCGCGUGAGUGAAGANGGCCUUCGGGNNGUAAAGCUCUUUCAGUCGAGAAGAAAAGGUUGUGACUAAUAAUCAUAACUCAUGACGGUAUCGACAGAAGAAGCACCGGCUAACUACGUGCCAGCAGCCG